rnacentral:rRNA from 1 species
UUUGAAGUUAAAUUCCGCGGUAAGGAUACCCCGGGCCUUUCAGCUUUUGGGAAGUAAGGUUCACCAGGCGAGGAACGGUAGCCGGCCUGACAGGGGACCGGCCACAUGGGACUGAGACCACGGCCCAGAUUCCUACGGGAGGCAGCAGUGGGAAUAUUGCACAAUGGGCGAAAGCCUGAUGCAGCGACGCCGCGUGAGGGAUGACGGCCUUCGGGUUGUAAACCUCUUUCAGCAGGGAAGAAGCGAAAGUGACGGUACCUGCAGAAGAAGCGCCGGCUAACUACGUGCCAGCAGCCGCGGUAAUACGUAGGGCGCAAGCGUUGUCCGGAAUUAUUGGGCGUAAAGAGCUCGUAGGCGGCUUGUCACGUCGGGUGUGAAAGCCCGGGGCUUAACCCCGGGUCUGCAUUCGAUACGGGCUAGCUAGAGUGUGGUAGGGGAGAUCGGAAUUCCUGGUGUAGCGGUGAAAUGCGCAGAUAUCAGGAGGAACACCGGUGGCGAAGGCGGAUCUCUGGGCCAUUACUGACGCUGAGGAGCGAAAGCGUGGGGAGCGAACAGGAUUAGAUACCCUGGUAGUCCACGCCGUAAACGGUGGGAACUAGGUGUUGGCGACAUUCCACGUCGUCGGUGCCGCAGCUAACGCAUUAAGUUCCCCGCCUGGGGAGUACGGCCGCAAGGCUAAAACUCAAAGGAAUUGACGGGGGCCCGCACAAGCAGCGGAGCAUGUGGCUUAAUUCGACGCAACGCGAAGAACCUUACCAAGGCUUGACAUACACCGGAAAACCCUGGAGACAGGGUCCCCCUUGUGGUCGGUGUACAGGUGGUGCAUGGCUGUCGUCAGCUCGUGUCGUGAGAUGUUGGGUUAAGUCCCGCAACGAGCGCAACCCUUGUUCUGUGUUGCCAGCAUGCCCUUCGGGGUGAUGGGGACUCACAGGAGACCGCCGGGGUCAACUCGGAGGAAGGUGGGGACGACGUCAAGUCAUCAUGCCCCUUAUGUCUUGGGCUGCACACGUGCUACAAUGGCCGGUACAAAGAGCUGCGAUACCGUGAGGUGGAGCGAAUCUCAAAAAGCCGGUCUCAGUUCGGAUUGGGGUCUGCAACUCGACCCCAUGAAGUCGGAGUUGCUAGUAAUCGCAGAUCAGCAUUGCUGCGGUGAAUACGUUCCCGGGCCUUGUACACACCGCCCGUCACGUCACGAAAGUCGGUAACACCCGAAGCCGGUGGCCCAACCCCUUGUGGGAGGGAGCCUCGAAG